rnacentral:rRNA from 1 species
CCCCUAGAUGUUCUGGGCCGCACGCGCGCUACACUGAACAGUUCAACAAGUCUUAACCUUGGCCGAUAGGUCUGGGUAAUCUUUGAACGCUGUUCGUGAUUGGGAUAGACCUUUGCAAUUAUGGGUCUUCAACGAGGAAUUCCUAGUAAACGCAAGUCAUCAGCUUGCAUUGAUUACGUCCCUGCCCUUUGUACACACCGCCCGUCGCACCUACCGAUUGAGUGGUCCGGUGAAGUCUCGAGAUUGUGGCAAUCUCCUUUAUUGGAGUUUGACUGCGAGAACUUGCCUAAACCUUAUCACUUAGAGGAAGGUGAAGUCGUAACA